rnacentral:rRNA from 1 species
UACAGAGGGUGCAAGCGUUAAUCGGAAUUACUGGGCGUAAAGCGUGCGUAGACGGUUAUUUAAGUCAGGUGUGAAAGCCCCGGGCUCAACCUGGGAAUUGCGAUGGAGACUGCAAGGCUAGAAUCUGGCAGAGGGGGGUAGAAUUCCACGUGUAGCAGUGAAAUGCGUAGAGAUGUGGAGGAACACCGAUGGCGAAGGCAGCCCCCUGGGUCAAGAUUGACGCUCAUGCACGAAAGCGUGGGGAGCAAACGAGGAUUAGAGUACC